rnacentral:rRNA from 1 species
UACAGAGGUGGCAAGCGUUGUUCGGAAUUACUGGGCGUAAAGGGCGCGUAGGCGGCCUUCUAAGUCAGACGUGAAAUCCCCCGGCUUAACCUGGGGGCUGCAUUUGAUACGUGUGGGCUUGAGUGCGGAAGAGGGUCGUGGAAUUCCCAGUGUAGAGGUGAAAUUCGUAGAUAUUGGGAAGAACACCGGUGGCGAAGGCGGCGACCUGGUCCGUGACUGACGCUGAGGCGCGAAAGCGUGGGGAGCAAACAGG